rnacentral:rRNA from 1 species
GCCCAGUGACUUUCUUAAACGGCCGCGGUAUCCUAACCGUGCAAAGGUAGCAUAAUCACUUGUCCUCUAAAUAAGGACUAGUAUGAACGGUCAAAUGAGGACUUAACUGUCUCUUACAUUCAACCAAUAAAACUGAUCUCUCAGUUAAAAAGCUGGGAUAUAAACAUAAGACGAGAAGACCCUGUGGAGCUUCAAACCAAACCCAACCCUAAUGGGGUACGGUUUUUAGUUGGGGCGACUUCGGAGUACAAAAAAACCUCCGAUAAAAACUAUAUCAAGACCAACACGUCAACAUAUUUUUUCCCACUGACCCGGUAUUUGCCAAAAUAUCCGAUCAAUGAACCAAGUUACCCCAGGGAUAACAGCGCCAUCCCCUUCUAGAGUCCCUAUCGACAAGGGGGUUUACGACCUCGAUGUUGGAUCAGGACACCCAAAUAGUGCAGCCGCUAUUAAAGGUUCGUUUGUUCAACGAUUAAUAGUCCUACGUGAUCUGAGGUUUC